GUGGGGAAUAUUGGACAAUGGGCGAAAGCCUGAUCCAGCCAUGCCGCGUGUGUGAAGAAGGUCUUCGGAUUGUAAAGCACUUUAAGUUGGGAGGAAGGGCAGUAAGUUAAUACCUUGCUGUUUUGACGUUACCGACAGAAUAAGCACUGGCUAACUUCGUGCCAGCAGCCGCGGUAAUACGAAGGGUGCAAGCGUUAAUCGGAAUUACUGGGCGUAAAGCGCGCGUAGGUGGUUUUGUAAGUUGGAGGUGAAAUCCCCGGGCUCAACCUGGGAACUGCCUCCAAAACUGCAUGACUAGAGUACGGUAGAGGGUAGUGGAAUUUCCUGUGUAGCGGUGAAAUGCGUAGAUAUAGGAAGGAACACCAGUGGCGAAGGCGACUACCUGGACUGAUACUGACACUGAGGUGCGAAAGCGUGGGGAGCAAACAGGAUUAGAUACCCCAGUAGUCC
rnacentral:rRNA from 1 species